rnacentral:rRNA from 1 species
GACGAACGCUGGCGGCGUGCUUAACACAUGCAAGUUGAACGGGGUACUUCAAGUAGCAAUACGAGAGGUACUUAGUAGCGGACGGGUGAGUAACGCGUGAGCAACCUACCUUUGUGAGGGGGACAACAGCUGGAAACGGCUGCUAAUACCGCAUAAGGCCACGAUCCCGCAUGGGGAUGUGGUAAAAGAUUUAUCGCACAAAGAUGGGCUCGCGUCCCAUUAGCUAGUUGGUGAGGUAACGGCCCACCAAGGCAACGAUGGGUAGCCGACCUGAGAGGGUGAUCGGCCACACUGGAACUGAGACACGGUCCAGACUCCUACGGGAGGCAGCAGUGGGGAAUAUUGGGCAAUGGGCGCAAGCCUGACCCAGCAACGCCGCGUGAGGGAAGAAGGUCUUCGGAUUGUAAACCUCUGUCCUUGGGGACGAAAAAAAUGACGGUACCCAAGGAGGAAGCUCCGGCUAACUACGUG